rnacentral:tRNA from 1 species
AAGGGAGACCUAAUUCAGGUAGGAGACGAAAAAAAGUAGUCCCUACCAAGAAUCAAUCCCAAAAGGUCGGAGCGAGGCAAAAUUGGCUUUCAAACUAGGUUCUGGGUUCACAUAAGACCUGAAUCAGGAACAAGGGCUAUUAGCUCAGGUGGUUAGAGCGCACCCCUGAUAAGGGUGAGGUCCCUGGUUCGAGUCCAGGAUGGCCCACCUGCACAGGUGGCAAAAACAAAGAAAAGAAGCUCCGAAUCAGCACCUUAUCUUACUCAUAUAGUAAGAGAGAAUGCUGGCUCUGAGUUCAGAGUCCAGAGGAACCUUGAAAACUGCGUAGAGCUAGGUGAAAAAGCCAAAAGAGAAGACCGCAAGGUCAAGCUAAUAAGGGCUAACGGUGGAUACCUAGGCAC